ACGGGAGGCAGCAGUGAGGAAUAUUGGUCAAUGGACGGAAGUCUGAACCAGCCAAGUCGCGUGAAGGAUGAAGGUAUUAUGUAUUGUAAACUUCUUUAGCAGUGGAGUAAUAAGGGGAUCGCGAUCCCUGAUGCAAGUACACUGAGAAUAAGGAUCGGCUAACUCCGUGCCAGCAGCCGCGGUAAUACGGAGGAUCCGAGCGUUAUCCGGAUUUAUUGGGUUUAAAGGGUGCGCAGGCGGCUUUUUAAGUCAGUGGUUAAAUCGUGACGCUCAACGUCAUCACGCCAUUGAUACUGGAGAGCUUGAUUGCGGUCGAGGUUUGCGGAAUUCGUUGUGUAGCGGUGAAAUGCAUAGAUAUGACGAAGAACACCGAUUGCGUAGGCAGCAGACCAGGCCGUAAAUGACGCUCAUGCACGAAAGUGCGGGGAUCGAACAGGAUUAGAUACCCUGGUA
rnacentral:rRNA from 1 species